rnacentral:rRNA from 1 species
UACAGAGGUCUCAAGCGUUGUUCGGAUUCACUGGGCGUAAAGGGUGCGCAGGCGGCCAUGUGUGUGAGGCGUGAAAGCCCGGGGCUUAACCCCGGAAUUGCACCUCAAACUACAUGGCUAGAGCAUUGGAGAGGGUAGCAGAAUUCAUGGUGUAGCAGUGAAAUGCGUAGAUAUCAUGAGGAAUACCAGAGGCGAAGGCGGCUACCUGGACAAUUGCUGACGCUCAGGCACGAAAGCGUGGGGAGCAAAAGGG